rnacentral:tRNA from 1 species
GGAGAGGUGGCAGAGUGGUCGAUUGCGCGGGUUUGCUAAACCCGUGAGCCCUCGGGUUCCGCAGGUUCGAAUCCUGUCCUCUCCG